rnacentral:rRNA from 1 species
ACUCGAGUAGGGCGGGACACGUGAAAUCCUGACUGAACAUGGGGGGACCAUCCUCCAAGCCUAAGUACUCCUACAUGACCGAUAGUGAACCAGUACCGUGAGGGAAAGGUGAAAAGCACCCCGACGAGGGGAGUGAAACAGUACCUGAAACCGAACGCCUACAAUCAGUUGGAGGCCCCUUGAGGGCUGACAGCGUACCUUUUGUAUAAUGGGUCAUCGACUUGGUCUUACGAGCAAGCUUAAGCCGUUAGGUGUAGGCGCAGCGAAAGCGAGUCUUAAUAGGGCGCAUGAGUUUGUGGGAUCAGACCCGAAACCGAGUGAUCUAGGCAUGACCAGGAUGAAGGUGCGGUAACACGCACUGGAGGUCCGAACCCACACCUGUUGAAAAAGGUCGGGAUGAGUUGUGCCUAGGGGUGAAAGGCCAAUCAAACUCGGAGAUAGCUGGU